AAACUUCAGAGUAUGCUUUUAAAACUCAUAGUUCAUAGGUGGCAUAUCAAUGAUGUCAUCCAGCGUAGACAUUAAGUCAGUAGGUAAUUGUAGCAAGUCAGACUCCCAUGGCAUCUCUUCAAGCUUUACAGGUGAACAAGUUAUGCUCAUAGGUUUGUCAAAAGUAUUUGGGUAUAUCAUGAGAGGAACACCACACAGAUUGAUAUUACUUAAUCUGUGCUCUUCAGGAACAUCAAAACUCUCCAAGUCUAGAGGAUCAGAGGGAAACAGGUUUUCUAUUUCUGGGUAAGCUUCAUCACCCACUGCAUCCCAGCUUUCUAAUCCAACAGUCUUUUC
rnacentral:lncRNA from 1 species